rnacentral:rRNA from 1 species
AGUGAACGCUGGCGGUAGGCCUAACACAUGCAAGCCGAACGGCAGCACAGAGGAGCUUGCUCCUUGGGUGGCGAGUGGCGGACGGGUGAGGAAUACAUCGGAAUCUACUCUGUCGUGGGGGAUAACGUAGGGAAACUUACGCUAAUACCGCAUACGACCUACGGGUGAAAGCAGGGGAUCUUCGGACCUUGCGCGAUUGAAUGAGCCGAUGUCGGAUUAGCUAGUUGGCGGGGUAAAGGCCCACCAAGGCGACGAUCCGUAGCUGGUCUGAGAGGAUGAUCAGCCACACUGGAACUGAGACACGGUCCAGACUCCUACGGGAGGCAGCAGUAGGGAAUAUUGGACAAUGGGCGCAAGCCUGAUCCAGCCAUACCGCGUGGGUGAAGAAGGCCUUCGGGUUGUAAAGCCCUUUUGUUGGGAAAGAAAUCCAUCUGGUUAAUACCCGGGUGGGAUGACGGUACCCAAAGAAUAAGCACCGGCUAACUUCGUGCCAGCCGCCGCAGUAA